rnacentral:rRNA from 1 species
AUUGAACGCUGGCGGAAUGCUUUACACAUGCAAGUCGAACGGUAGAGGGGGCAACCCCUCGAGAGUGGCGAACGGGUGAGUAAUAUAUCGGAACGUGCCCAGUCGUGGGGGAUAACGUAGCGAAAGUUACGCUAAUACCGCAUACGAUCUAAGGAUGAAAGCGGGGGAUCGCAAGACCUCGCGCGAUUGGAGCGGCCGAUUUCAGAUUAGGUAGUUGGUGGGGUAAAGGCUCACCAAGCAAACGAUCUGUAGCUGGUCUGAGAGGACGACCGGCCACACUGGAACUGAGAAACGGUCCAGACUCCUACGGGAGGCAGCAGUGGGGAAUUUUGGACAAUGGACGCAAGUCUGAUCCAGCCAUUCCGCGUGCAGGAUGAAGGCCCUCGGGUUGUAAACUGCUUUUGUACGGAACGAAAAGGUCUCUCUUAAUACGGGGGACUCAUGACGGUACCGUAAGAAUAAGCACCGGCUAACUACGUGCCAGCCGCCGCCGUAAUAC